rnacentral:rRNA from 1 species
CAGUAAGGGCGACUGAAGCAGGUAAAGCUCACCGUGUGAAUCUGUACAGGCCAGCCCCUGUGCCGAGUUGUGGUCUGUAGAAGCAUCGUCUGUUGGUGUCCCGGGCCAAGUCCUUUGGAAAAAGGCAGCAGAGAGGGUGAGACUCCCGUUCUUGCCUGGGACAUUCGACUACAUUCGUGCCUUCGACGAGUCGAGUUGUUUGGGAUUGCAGCUCAAAGUGGGUGGUAAAUUCCAUCUAAAGCUAAAUAUUGGUAGGAGACCGAUAGCGAACAAGUACCGUGAGGGAAAGAUGAAAAGAACUUUGAAAAGAGAGUUAAAGAGUUCAUAAAAUUGUUGAAAUGGAAGCGAAGACAACCAGUGUUGUUCUUACUCAUUCUUCUUGUGCUGCUUGCAGCAGAAGCGCUGUGAGUUUGAAUAGGCCAGCAUGGGUUUGGGUCGGCACAAAUUAUUGCAUUGGAGGUAGGUCUAUUUCAGGCUGAAGACACUGUGACGUUGUGCUGGCCUAGACCGAGGCUAGCUCGUGUGAUGCUGGCAAAAUGGUUGCCUUCACCCCGUCUUGAAACACGGACCAAGGAGUUUAACAUACGUGCGAGUAUAGGAGUGGCAAACUCCCAUGCGCAAUGAAAGUAACAGUGGUAGGACCUUCUGGGGCACUAUCCGCCGGCCACAAUCCCUCGGGAGAAAGGUCUGAGUGUGAGCAUGCAUGUUGAGACCCGAAAGAUUGUGAACUAUGCCUGAAUAGGGUGAAGCCAGGGAAA